AUGGUUGGAGGGCCUAUAGACUUCUGGAAUGCGUGGGCGGUUCAGAGCCUGGUGCUGACGAGCCUAACUCUGCAGGUUGCCCUCGUCCUGUUAGCGGGGAUCCGGCGGCGUGGCACAUCCUGGCGUACGUUCAGGUUCAUGCUCUGGCUGGCGUACCAGCUCGCCGACGCCACCGCGAUAUAUGCUCUCGGCCACCUCUCAUUCGACGGCGCCACACCCCGCGAGCAUCGCCUGGUUGCGUUCUGGGCGCCAUUUCUCUUGCUGCACCUUGGCGGCCCGGAUAACAUCACCGCCUACUCGCUCGAAGACAACAUGUUGUGGCUGCGACACCUACUUAAUCUCGGUUUGCAGGUGCUGGGAGCUUCCUACGUCCUCUACAAGCAUUACAUCGGCACUCAAGACAUGCUCCUUCUCGCCGCCAUCUUGAUGUUCGUCGUCGGUGUUGUCAAAUAUGGCGAGAGGACGUGGGCGCUCAGGUGCGGCAACAUGGACAUCAUCCGGGGCUCCCUCAAGAAGAAACCACCUCCCAGAUGUGACCUUCUUUACCUUGAGUAUGAGCUCCCACAAGGUGGAUGCAAGGGUAGUGUCGAUGAAGAAGAAUUCCUCAUGCGGCAUGCUCAUUCCCUGUUUCAGUUCUGCAAGCGCGCAAUAGUUGAAUCGUCAGAGGACAGGGACAAAAACAACCCUGAAAUCAAAGUUCUUGAGCACCUCACACAUGAACAGUUGUAUGUGGUGAUGGAGUUGGAGCUGUCACUGCUCUACGACAUCCUGUACACAAAGGCAGGCGUGGUGCAUACCUCAUUUGGUUACUGUGUCUGUAUCGCCUCACCAGCCGCUACUGCAGUAGCGCUGUUGUUCUUCCAGUUCAGUGGCAAAGAUGGUAACAGCAGAGUCGAUGUUGCUAUCACCUACAUCUUACUGGGUGGUGCAUUACUCCUGGAGAUAAGAUCCCUGCUGAGUGCACUUGGGUCUAGUUGGACACUCCCCUUCCUGUGUGCCACAAGAUGGAAUUUUCUGAAACAUGCAUUUCUCUGCAGGGGGGGAUGGGAUCGGCUUCGCCGUUGGAUAGUAUCUCUUCACCGGCUCAUAAAGGUCAUGAGAGUUAGUGGGUGCUUGAGGCCGGCAAGGAGGUGGUCAGGUACUGUGGGGCAAUAUAACAUGUUGCAUUUGUGCAGCCGUCCCAGCAAAAGGAACAGUCCUCUGCCCGGUAGAUUUGCCAUGAUGCUGGGAUUCGAGGAGUGGUGGAACAGGGAGCAUCACUCACAGACCGCCAGGAUUUCAGAGUACCUGAAGAAGGAAUUGAGGCUUUACAUUCUUGAAUUAGUCAGUAAGGGCCAGGUGAGCACCCAAGGCAUUGUGAGGAAAAAAUGGGGUGAGUAUGCAAUCCAGACGAAAUGUACGAAUCUGUACAAAAAGCUGAAAGACAACCUACUACUACUAGGCGUUGAGUUCCAAGAGGGCAUCAUUAUCUGGCACAUCGCCACCGACCUCUACCUCCUCGACGACAAGCACACUGGGAUUGAAACCAUGGAAGGCCAAGCAAUGUAUGAGUCGGUGAGGGUGUUGUCCAACUACAUGAUGUUCCUCCUGGUGGAACGUCCCUACAUGUUACCAGGCCUUGCUCAGAGCAGAUUGUACCGGCGGACCUGUGAGAAUCUAGUCAAAAUAUGGGGCCAAGAAGGCCAAACGCACCAAGCCCCCAGCUGGGGCGACAUGUUCCGCCUUCGUGAUGGCCCCAAUUCCCGCUCUAGUCUCCAACGGAGAAAGAAGCUUGCCGACAUGGUACAAGACAAGAAACCAAAACCCGGCCCUGAAACCCCCCGUCUCAGUUACGCAAUCGUAGUAGCCCAAGAACUGGUCAGUAACGACGAGAACCUAGACGGUGAGUACAGCUCAUUGCGGGUGCUCCUCUUCGUGUGGAUGGAUUUCCUGGUCCACGCGGCAAACAGGUGCAGCAGGGAGUCCCACGCCAAGAAGCUUAGCAGUGGAGGUGAGUUCACAACCGUCCUCUGGCUUCUCAUCGAGCACCUCCACCAACUAGUCGAGCCUAAUCCACCGCCACCGUCAGCGGAGGACGGGGAUGAAACUAAGGGCACCGAGCGCGCAGCCGUGGACAAAUACUUGUAA
rnacentral:rRNA from 1 species